AAAUAGCUUAGCGGUCUAUAGUACUAGUUUGAAAAACUAGUGAUCGUUGGUUCAAAUCCAACUUUAA
rnacentral:tRNA from 1 species